rnacentral:rRNA from 1 species
GACGAACGCUGGCGGCGUGCUUAACACAUGCAAGUCGAACGGGACCGCCCCUGUUUUUGGGGGUGGGUUGAGUGGCGAACGGGUGAGUAUACCGUGAGUAACCUGCCCCCUGCUCCUGGAUAACUGCUUGAACGGGCGGCUAAUACGGGGUGUGCCGCCUGGUCCGCAUGGGCCGGGGGGGGGUAGCGUCGUCUUGGGAUGUUUCGGCGGGGGAUGGGCUCGUGGGCGAUGAGGUUGGUGGUGGGGUGAUGGCCCACUAAGGCGGUGACGGGUAGCCGGGCUGAGAGGGUGGGCGGCCACACUGGGACUGGGACACGGCGCAGACGCCUGCGGGAGGCAGCAGUGGGGGGUAGUGCACGAUGGGCGGAAGCCUGAUGCAGCGACGGCGCGUGAGGGAUGGAGGCCUUCGGGUUGUGAACCUCUUUCUCCGGUGGUGAAGGCCCUGUCCGUUGCGGCGGGGUUGACGGUAGCCGGGUAUGAAGCGCCGGCUAACUACGUG